UACGUAGGUGGCAAGCGUUAUCCGGAAUUAUUGGGCGUAAAGAGCGCGCAGGUGGUUGAUUAAGUCUGAUGUGAAAGCCCACGGCUUAACCGUGGAGGGUCAUUGGAAACUGGUCGACUUGAGUGCAGAAGAGGGAAGUGGAAUUCCAUGUGUAGCGGUGAAAUGCGUAGAGAUAUGGAGGAACACCAGUGGCGAAGGCGGCUUUCUGGCCAGUUACUGACGCUCAUGCGCGAAAGCUGGGGUAGCGAACCGGAUUAGAUACCCCCGUA
rnacentral:rRNA from 1 species